rnacentral:lncRNA from 1 species
UUCUAGGUGCUUUAAACCCAAUCCCUUGUUGUUUGACACUCUAUCCGAACUUGUUUCGACAUGGUCCUUUAUAUCCCACUUGUGCAUAUGGAGCUUGUCCCCCUUUAUGAGUUAAGUCUUUAUAUCUUUCUCCCCCCUCUAGUCCCCUCAACCUCCCCUACCUUCAUCGUACCUUUCCCUUUAUCUUCAAACUUGUUGUCCAGAUUGUUACGACUUGGUCCAUUAUGCACCACUUGUGCAAAUGAAACUUGUCCCCCUUUAUGAGUCGUAUUAUUAUACCUAUCA